GACGAACGCUGGCGGCGUGCCUAAUACAUGCAAGUCGAACGCGGGGGCGGACGGGUGAGUAAUAUAUAGCUAAUCUGCCCCUUUCUGUAGGCCAACAGUUAGAAAUUACUGCUAAUACUCCAUAGCCAGGGAUGAGACUAUAUCGUAUCAGCUAGUCGGUGGGGUAACGGCCUACCGAGGCUAUGACGCGUAACUGGUCUGAGAUGAUGAGGACGAGAAUUGGAACGGAGACACGUGCCAAAAACUUACGAGAGUAGGCAGUAGCGAAUAUUGGGCAAUCGGGGAAUACCUGAAGCAGCAACGCCGCGUGGAGGAUGACAAUGUUCGGAGAGUAAACUUCUGUUGUUAGGGAAGCGGUACCUAACGAAUAAGCACCGGCUAACUCCGUGCCAGCAGCCGCGGUAAUAC
rnacentral:rRNA from 1 species